AAUAUAUUUACAAAUUGUUUAACUUAUAAAAUAAUGGUAUGGGGAAAGUAAGUAGUGGUAGUGACUACAACCUUCCAUCUCCACUAAAAUACUUCGAUGUAUGCACAAUGCAAAAUCUUUUCUAUCAAAUGAAAGAUUAUUAUUAUGACGAACCACCAAACUAUUCCAAUAAAGGUAAAAACAGUACAUUACAAUGUUUAAAACUAUGUUUACCUGGGUCAACAAGUAUCUUUCUCAAAGACAAGACACGACGAUUAGGUUAAAAUACGAGUUAACAUAACCUGGAAUAAAUCCUGGAGCAAUAAAGAAACCCUUAAAUCAGAAUUUUAAAACUUAAGAAAAAAUAAUGGACUCAUAUUUAAUACCUUGUCUUACAUAUGGCUUC